rnacentral:SRP_RNA from 1 species
GCCAGGCACGGUGGCACAUGCCUGUAGUCCCAGCUACUCGGGAGACUAAGGUGGGAGGAUCACUUGAGCCCAGGAGUUCUGGGCUGUAGUGCUGGAUGCCUGUCGGAUUUCCGUACUAAGUUCGGCAUCAAUAUGGUGAUCUCCUGGGAGCGGGGGACCACCAGGUUGCCUAAGGAGGGGUGAACCAGCCCAGGUCGGAAACGAGCAGGUCAAAACUCCCAUGCUAAUCAGUAGUGGGAUCACACCUGUGAAUAGUUACUGCACUCCAGCCUGGGCAACAUAGUGAUACCCGUCUUU